rnacentral:rRNA from 1 species
AGAUUAAGUUAUUAAGGGCGCACGGUGGAUGCCUUGGCACUAGAAGCCGAUGAAGGACGUUACUAACGACGAUAUGCUUUGGGGAGCUGUAAGUAAGCUUUGAUCCAGAGAUUUCCGAAUGGGGAAACCCAGCAUGAGUUAUGUCAUGUUAUCGAUAUGUGAAUACAUAGCAUAUCAGAAGGCACACCCGGAGAACUGAAACAUCUUAGUACCCGGAGGAAGAGAAAGAAAAUUCGAUUCCCUUAGUAGCGGCGAGCGAAACGGGAAGAGCCCAAACCAACAAGCUUGCUUGUUGGGGUUGUAGGACACUCUAUACGGAGUUACAAAGGACGACAUUAGACGAAUCAUCUGGAAAGAUGAAUCAAAGAAGGUAAUAAUCCUGUAGUCGAAAAU